rnacentral:rRNA from 1 species
AGCGUACCAUGCAAGUCGAACGAUGAUGCCCAGCUUGCUGGGCGGAUUAGUGGCGAACGGGUGAGUAAUACGUGAGUAACCUGCCCUUGACUCUGGGAUAAGCCUGGGAAACUGGGUCUAAUACUGGAUACUACCUCUUACCGCAUGGUGGGUGGUGGAAAGGGUUUUACUGGUUUUGGAUGGGCUCACGGCCUAUCAGCUUGUUGGUGGGGUAAUGGCUCACCAAGGCGACGACGGGUAGCCGGCCUGAGAGGGUGACCGGCCACACUGGGACUGAGACACGGCCCAGACUCCUACGGGAGGCAGCAGUGGGGAAUAUUGCACAAUGGGCGGAAGCCUGAUGCAGCGACGCCGCGUGAGGGAUGACGGCCUUCGGGUUGUAAACCUCUUUCAGUAGGGAAGAAGCGAGAGUGACGGUACCUGCAGAAGAAGCGCCGGCUAACUACGUGCCAGCAGCCGCGGUAAUACGUAGGGCGCAAGCGUUGUCCGGAAUUAUUGGGCGUAAAGAGCUCGUAGGCGGUUUGUCGCGUCUGCUGUGAAAGCCCGGGGCUCAACCCCGGGUCUGCAGUGGGUACGGGCAGACUAGAGUGCAGUAGGGGAGACUGGAAUUCCUGGUGUAGCGGUGAAAUGCGCAGAUAUCAGGAGGAACACCGAUGGCGAAGGCAGGUCUCUGGGCUGUUACUGACGCUGAGGAGCGAAAGCAUGGGGAGCGAACAGGAUUAGAUACCCUGGUAGUCCAUGCCGUAAACGUUGGGCACUAGGUGUGGGGGACAUUCCACGUUUUCCGCGCCGUAGCUAACGCAUUAAGUGCCCCGCCUGGGGAGUACGGCCGCAAGGCUAAAACUCAAAGGAAUUGACGGGGGCCCGCACAAGCGGCGGAGCAUGCGGAUUAAUUCGAUGCAACGCGAAGAACCUUACCAAGGCUUGACAUUCACCGGACCGCCCCAGAGAUGGGGUUUCCCUUCGGGGCUGGUGGACAGGUGGUGCAUGGUUGUCGUCAGCUCGUGUCGUGAGAUGUUGGGUUAAGUCCCGCAACGAGCGCAACCCUCGUUCUAUGUUGCCAGCACGUGAUGGUGGGGACUCAUAGGAGACUGCCGGGGUCAACUCGGAGGAAGGUGGGGAUGACGUCAAAUCAUCAUGCCCCUUAUGUCUUGGGCUUCACGCAUGCUACAAUGGCCGGUACAAAGGGUUGCGAUACUGUGAGGUGGAGCUAAUCCCAAAAAGCCGGUCUCAGUUCGGAUUGAGGUCUGCAACUCGACCUCAUGAAGUCGGAGUCGCUAGUAAUCGCAGAUCAGCAACGCUGCGGUGAAUACGUUCCCGGGCCUUGUACACACCGCCCGUCAAGUCACGAAAGUUGGUAACACCCGAAGCCGGUGGCCUAACCCCUUGUGGGAGGAGCCGU